UACAGAGGUCUCGAGCGUUAGGCGGAAUCACUGGGCUUAAAGCGUGUGUAGGCGGGUCGUUAAGUGCCUUGUGAAAUCCCAUGGCUCAACCAUGGAACUGCUGGGCAUACUGGCGAUCUUGUGCAACCUAGGGGCGAGCGGAACAGAUGGUGGAGCGGUGAAAUGCGUAGAUAUCAUCUGGAACGCCAAUGGUGAAAACAGCUCGCUGGGGGUUUGCAGACGCUGAGACACGAAAAGCCAGGGGAGCGAACGGG
rnacentral:rRNA from 1 species